rnacentral:piRNA from 1 species
UUCCAAAUUGAAUGAAAAAUCUUGUCAGC